rnacentral:lncRNA from 1 species
CCAGAGAUGUAAGCUGGGCGAGAGUGUCAGGGCCUGGCCAUACCACUGACCUCAGGAAAAUGAGCCUGGGGGACAGUACUAAGGGUGUGGGGGGUCAGGUGGGUGUGUCAGGUACCUCCAGAGCUUUGAGGGGUGGGGCAGAGAGUCAGUGGGACUGGGAGGACUAGGGCAGUGUCCCCUCAUCCCUGGGACGGUUUUCCUGAAUGGCCUGGCAGGCUGGGGGCUGCCGCGUCAACAGCCAACCUCCUGGAUGAUGUGGAGGGCCACGCGUGUGAUGAAGACUUCCGGGGCAGGCGUCAGGAGGCACCCAAGGUGGAGGAAGGCCUGCGAGAAGGACAGUAAGAGAUGCCAGCAGCUCUUCCUUGCCAGAGAUGAUCUGACCCGGUGGGGGCAGCUGGAAAGCAACACUGGCCCCCAGCUGAAGGGCCCAGCUGCAGCCAGACAGAUGGUGCUUGAGAACCGAGGCCCGGUGAUCCUCCAGCCACAGUCCAGCCCAACCACUGCCACUUUCCAUGGGACUUAGAACUUCGGAGUUGCUGCCUUGCAAUUGGAGGAAGGACCUGGGGCCCCUAUAGGCAGCAGCCAAUUACAGCCCCUUUUGUAGCCAGGCGUUCCUAUGGUCAAAGAGUGGAAAUGCAGGAACCAACCUCCCUUUAAAAAAAAAAAAAUCCAGAAAGCAGAUAAAAGUUGGAAUAUGGAAAAGGGCAAGAUGACCCCCACCAGAGGCUCUUUGGCCUGAAGGUGGAGUCUCUGCCU